rnacentral:rRNA from 1 species
CCGGAUGUGGCCCUCCCCUCGCAUGGGGGGAGGACUAAAGCCUCGCAAGGGGGCUUUUCGAGGGGCUUGCGGCCUAUCAGCUAGUUGGUGGGGUGACGGCCUACCAAGGCGACGACGGGUAGCUGGUCUGAGAGGACGGCCAGCCGGACUGGGACUGAGAGACGGCCCAGACUCCUACGGGGGGCAGCAAUUAGGAAUCUUGCGCAAUGGGCGAAAGCCUGACGCAGCGACGCCGCGUGGAGGAGGAAGUCCUUCGGGAUGUAAACUCCUUUUGUUGGGGAAGAAGCAAGUGACGGUACCCAACGAACAAGCCCCGGCUAACUACGUGCCAGCAGCCGCGGUAAUACGUAGGGGGCGAGCGUUGUCCGAAGUUACUGGGCGUAAAGCGCGCGUAGGCGGGGGACUAAGUGAGAAGUGAAAGGCUCAGGCUCAACCUGAUGCAGUGCUUCUCAUACUGGUUCUCUUGAGGGCGGUAGAGAGAAGUGGAAUGGCUGGUGUAGCGGUGAAAUGCGUAGAUAUCAGUCGGAACACCGGUGGCGAAGGCGGCUUCUUGGGCCGUUACUGACGCUGAGGCGCGAAAGCCAGGGGAGCGAACGGGAUUAGAUACCCCGGUAGUCCUGGCCGUAAACGAUGGAUACUAGGUGUUGGGGGUAUCGACCCCUCCAGUGCCGCAGCUAACGCAAUAAGUAUCCCGCC